AUGUGCACUCAUUACCAUUUCUUUUAUGUUACUAAUUAUGCACCUUUCGACGUCACUUCCCUUUUCUUCCAAGUGAGAGCAGUUGAAUUGCUUGGUGAACAAUGGAAAGGGAGAUGUUUAAAAAGCACAUCUGUACACAUGAACACACCUGGUGAGCAUGCUGCAUUCCAGCCGUGCAAGGGCAAAGAUGUCCACUGGAAGGUGUGGGAAACCCUGGUCGAGCGCUGCGUCUGUCACUGGAACGGCCCGUGGACGGCGUGUCGGCCCCUGAAAUCGCUGGCCUUUCCGAUAAGACUCCCCCUUGAGUUCCCCACCGGACUCGCACACACUCACACACACCCCACAAGGAAAUUUAUUUUCAUCAGGAUUCUAUGCAUCAUUAAGAGGUAGUUUGUCUUAUUACAGCCUGUUAUUAAUGUUCAGAAUUCAUUUAAUUUCACUUUUAACUGACUGUAGCAAUGGGAUAAUUGAUUUCAUCGGGGAGGCCAUGGCAGCCCCAGUGCUGGAAAGUGGCAGGAAAGGUGAAGUUGGGUGUCCUCAGGGCCCAGGGGGACCUGAACCCUCAAGUACCCCCCCCCAGGGCUCUCAGACUUCACUCUCACUCUCCUCUCCCUCCCACCAGCACCUCAGUCAAGGGAACUCAUUCACAGCUCACCCUGUUCUUGACUGCAUGGUAUUACGGACAAGGAAAGAGCCCAAGGUGGCUGGCCACACACAGCCCCGCUGAGCCAGGGAGGACGGAAGGUGCCCCGCGCCUCCUGCCCGGUCCGUGCCCUCCAGCCUCUCCAGCACGGCCCACCACAGCAGGGGGCUUUCUCUCUGGGCCCCGCAGGAACGGCGUGCUGCCUCCUCGCUGGGCUGGGGGCUUUGUGGGAGCAUUGUCCUGACGGCCUGCACUUGUAGCAUGGGCUGGAUCAUGCAAGUGUCUCCGGAAAGAGAGGAGAGACCAAGCUCAAGUUCACUGAUGGCCUCAAGAAGCAGACACAGCAGACUCCAAAACUCAGGACCCCCACUAACCCUGUCUAGAUGCAGUGUCUCCCAGACACACAUAAAAGCACAGCCGAGAUCUGAGGCUGGGCCACGUAAAGCUAGUCGGCUGGUCAGACAGCGGUAACGUGAUGUUCUACAUUUAACACACAAAAACGAUAUUUCUGGAAUUCUCAUAAAGAAAGUAAAUGGCAACUUUCUUGUGCGAUGAUGCUUAAGAGUCUUACAUAAUAACUGCGUGGGAAGGGCAUUCCAGAAGCUCACAACAAUGGCAAAAGCCAUAUAUGAAAAUUUCCGAUGCUUGCGCAAAUAAAUAUUUAUGACUUCUCUAUGCCAAAAUAAAAUUAAAAGGCUGCCAACUGGGUAAUACUUGGGAUUUAUGUGACAAAGAGUGAACAUUCCCUAUGUAGAAAAUGCUUUUACAAAUCCAUAAGGAAGUGAUGAAAAAUGCUUAAAAAUGGGCACAGGGAACCGUCUGGCAAUUCAGAAAGGGAUAUUCACAAACGAGCCAUCAGCAGACCAGGAAACACUCAGGACUUCCGCCCACCGAUAGUGGAGGAUGCGUUACCUGGCAGAAGAGCACCGUGGUGUCUAUGCUCGAACCAGCCCUGGGUGGGGGGUGGAAGGGGCUCCCCCUGACUCGGGGUCCCGGGCGGAGGGUGGAAGAGGCUCCCCCCUGGCUCGGGGUCCUGGGCGGAGGGUGGAGGGGGCUCCCCCUGACUCGGGGCCCGGGGCGGGGGUGGAGGGGGCUCCCCCUGACUCGGGGCCCACAGGGUUGACUUUCCAUCAUCCUGCCUCGGAGCCUCCCAAGUAGCUGGGAUUAUAGGUGCCCGCCACUGUGCCCAGCUUGAAUUUUUGUAUUUUUGGUAGAGACAAGGAUUGUCGACAAACAUCAUUGGCCUGAUGCUGGUCUUGAACAUCCAUGUAACCUCAUGAG
rnacentral:lncRNA from 1 species